rnacentral:misc_RNA from 1 species
AAGUCGUAACAAGGUCUCCGUUGGUGAACCAGCGGAGGGAUCAUUACUGAGUUACCGCUCUACAACCCUUUGUGAACAUACCUUAACUGUUGCUUCGGCGGGCAGGAGGACAACCCCCCUCGGGGGGCGGUCCCCCUCCCGGCCGCGCCCUCACGGGCGUGGCGCCCGCCGGAGGAUACCAAAACUCUAUUUUAACGACGUUUCUUCUGAGUGGCACAAGCAAAUAAUUAAAACUUUUAACAACGGAUCUCUUGGUUCUG